rnacentral:rRNA from 1 species
GAUGAACGCUGGCGGCGUGCCUAAUACAUGCAAGUCGAGCGAACGGACGAGAAGCUUGCUUCUCUGAUGUUAGCGGCGGACGGGUGAGUAACACGUGGAUAACCUACCUAUAAGACUGGGAUAACUUCGGGAAACCGUAGCUAAUACCGGAUAAUAUUUUGAACCGCAUGGUUCAAAAGUGAAAGACGGUCUUGCUGUCACUUAUAGAUGGAUCCGCGCUGCAUUAGCUAGUUGGUAAGGUAACGGCUUACCAAGGCAACGAUGCAUAGCCGACCUGAGAGGGUGAUCGGCCACACUAGAACUGAGACACGGUCCAGACUCCUACGGGAGGCAGCAGUAGGGAAUCUUCCGCAAUGGGCGAGAGCCUGACGGAGCAACGCCGCGUGAGUGAUGAAGGUCUUCGGAUCGUAAAACUCUGUUAUUAGGGAAGAACAUAUGUGUAAGUAACUGUGCACAUCUUGACGGUACCUAAUCAGAAAGCCACGGCUAACUACGUG